rnacentral:rRNA from 1 species
UACAGAGGUCUCAAGCGUUGUUCGGAUUCAUUGGGCGUAAAGGGUGCGUAGGCGGCGCGGUAAGUCGGGUGUGAAAUCUCGGAGCUUAACUUCGAAACUGCAUUCGAUACUGCCGUGCUUGAGGACUGGAGAGGAGACUGGAAUUUACGGUGUAGCGGUGAAAUGCGUAGAUAUCGUAAGGAAGACCAGUGGCGAAGGCGGGUCUCUGGACAGUUCCUGACGCCGAGGCACGAAGGCCAGGGGAGCAAACGGG